rnacentral:rRNA from 1 species
AUUGAACGCUGGCGGCGUGCUUUACACAUGCAAGUCGGACGAGUGGCGAACGGGUGAGUAACGCAUCGGAACGUAACGAGUAAUGGGGGAUAACUACUGGAAACGGUAGCUAAUACCGCAUACCAUAAGAUGUGCCCAGAUGGGAUUAGCUAGUAGGUGGGGUAACGGCUGACCUAGGCGACGAUCCCUAGCUGGUCUGAGAGGAUGACCAGCCACACUGGAACUGAGACACGGCCCAGACUCCUACGUGAGGCAGCAGUGGGGAAUAUUGCACAAUGGGCGCAAGCCUGAUGCAGCCAUGCCGCGUGUGUGAAGAAGGCCUGCGGGUUGUAAAGCACUUUCAGCGGGGAGGCGUUACCCGCAGAAGAAGCACCGGCUAACUCCGUGCCAGCAGCCGCGGUAAUAC